rnacentral:rRNA from 1 species
UACGUAGGGUGCGAGCGUUGUCCGGAAUUACUGGGCGUAAAGAGCUCGUAGGUGGUUUGUCGCGUUGUUCGUGAAGGCUCACAGCUCAACUGUGGGCGUGCGGGCGAUACGGGCAGACUGGAGUACUGCAGGGGAGACUGGAAUUCCUGGUGUAGCGGUGGAAUGCGCAGAUAUCAGGAGGAACACCGGUGGCGAAGGCGGGUCUCUAGGCAGUAACUGACGCUGAGGAGCGAAAGCGUGGGGAGCGAACAGG